rnacentral:rRNA from 1 species
GAUGAACGCUAGCGGCAGGCUUAAUACAUGCAAGUCAAGGGGGUAGCAAUACAACCGGCGCACGGGUGAGUAACGCGUACACAACAUACCAUAUACUGGAGUAUAGCUUUGGGGAACUGAAGGUAAUCCUCCAUAACAUUGCGAGAGGGCAUCUGAUUGCAAUUAAAGUUUCGGCGGUAUAUGAUUGGUGUGCGUUUGAUUAGCUAGUUGGUAGGGUAACGGCCUACCAAGGCGACGAUCAAUAGCUGGCGUGAGAGCGCGACCAGCCACACUGGAACUGAGACACGGUCCAGACUCCUACGGGAGGCAGCAGUAGGGAAUAUUGGACAAUGGAGGAAACUCUGAUCCAGCAAUGCCGCGUGUGUGAAGAAGGCCUGCGGGUUGUAAAGCACUUUUUGUUCGGGAAGAAAUCAUGUCGGUUAAUACCCGAUGUGGAUGACGGUACCGAAAGAAUAAGCACCGGCUAACUUCGUGCCAGCAGCCGCGGUAAAGUAG